GACGAACGCUGGCGGCGUGCUUAACACAUGCAAGUCGAACGGACAGGCCCUGCUUUUGUGGGGUGCUCGAGUGGCGAACGGGUGAGUAACACGUGAGUAACCUGCCCUUGACUUUGGGAUAACUUCAGGAAACUGGGGCUAAUACCGGAUAGGAGCUCCUGCUGCAUGGUGGGCGAUGGAAAGUUUCGGCGGUUGGGGAUGGACUCGCGGCUUAUCCGCUUGUUGGUGGGGUAGUGGCUUACCAAGGCUUUGACGGGUAGCCGGCCUGAGAGGGUGACCGGCCACAUUGGGACUGAGAGACGGACCAGACUCCUACGGGAGGCAGCAGUGGGGAAUAUUGCACAAUGGGCGGAAGCGUGAUGCAGCAACGCCGCGUGCGGGAUGACGGCCUUCGGGUUGUAAACCGCUUUCGCCUGUGACGAAGCGGGAGUGACGGUAAUGGGUAAAGAAGCACCGGCUAACUACGUG
rnacentral:rRNA from 1 species